UCCGCCUGCUUUACUGGGAAGGUUCCAUGU
rnacentral:piRNA from 1 species